CCUGGUGGCUCAGAGGUUAAAGCAUCUGCCUGGAAUGCAGGAGACCCGGCUUCGAUCCCUGGGUCAGGA
rnacentral:tRNA from 1 species